AACACAUGCAAGUCGAACGAGUAGGGAACAGCUNGCUGUUCUGCGCGAGUGGCGGACGGGUGAGUAAUGUCUGGGAAACUGCCUGAUGGAGGGGGAUAACUACUGGAAACGGUAGCUAAUACCGCAUACGUCGCACCUCUUGCCAUCGGAUGUGCCCAGAUGGGAUUAGCUUGUUGGUGGGGUAACGGCUCACCAAGGCGACGAUCCCUAGCUGGUCUGAGAGGAUGACCAGCCACACUGGAACUGAGACACGGUCCAGACUCCUACGGGAGGCAGCAGUGGGGAAUAUUGCACAAUGGACGAAAGUCUGAUGCAGCAACGCCGCGUGGAGGAUGACACAUUUCGGUGCGUAAACUCCUUUUAUAUGAGAAGAUAAUGACGGUAUCAUAUGAAUAAGCACCGGCUAACUUCGUGCCAGCAGCCGCGGUAAUACGAGGGGUGCAAGCGUUACUCGGAAUCACUGGGCGUAAAGAGCAUGUAGGCUGGUAGUUAAGUUGGAAGUGAAAUCCUAUGGCUCAACCAUA
rnacentral:rRNA from 1 species